GGUUCCCUACGGGGCGCAGCAGUGGGGAAUUUUGGACAAUGGGCGCAAGCCUGAUCCAGCUAUUCCGCGUGUGGGAUGAAGGCCCUCGGGUUGUAAACCACUUUUGUAGAGAACGAAAAGACACCUUCGAAUAAAGGGUGUUGCUGACGGUACUCUAAGAAUAAGCACCGGCUAACUACGUGCCAGCAGCCGCGGUAAUACGUAGGGUGCGAGCGUUAAUCGGAAUUACUGGGUUUAAAGGGUGCGCAGGCGGCUGAGUAAUACAGAUGUGAAAUCCCCGAGCUUAACUCGGGAAUGGCAUAUGU
rnacentral:rRNA from 1 species